AACGCUAGCUACAGGCUUAACACAUGCAAGUCGAGGGGCAGCAUUAGGUAGCAAUACUGAGAUGGCGACCGGCGCACGGGUGCGUAACGCGUAUCCAACCUUCCCGUUACUCUUGGAUAGCCUUCCGAAAGGGAGAUUAAUACAAGAUGGUGUUGAAAUUCCGCAUGUUAUUUCAACUAAAGAUUUAUCGGUAACGGAUGGGGAUGCGUGACAUUAGAUAGAUGGCGGGGUAACGGCCCACCAUGUCCACGAUGUCUAGGGGUUCUGAGAGGAAGGUCCCCCACACUGGAACUGAGACACGGUCCAGACUCCUACGGGAGGCAGCAGUGAGGAAUAUUGGUCAAUGGCCGGAAGGCUGAACCAGCCAAGUAGCGUGAAGGAUGAAGGUUCUAUGGAUUGUAAACUUCUUUUAUACGGGAAUAAAACCUCCCACGUGUGGGAGCUUGUAUGUACCGUAUGAAUAAGCAUCGGCUAACUCCGUGCCAGCAGCCGCGGUAAUACGGAGGAUGCGAGCGUUAUCCGGAUUUAUUGGGUUUAAAGGGAGCGUAGACGGGAGAUUAAGUCAGCUGUGAAAGUUUGAGGCCCAACCUUAAAAUUGCAGUUGAUACUGGUUUCCUUGAGUGCGGUUGAGGUGUAUGGAAUUCGUGGUGUAGCGGUGAAAUGCUUAGAUAUCACGAAGAACUCCGAUUG
rnacentral:rRNA from 1 species